ensembl:rRNA 5S_rRNA 5S ribosomal RNA
GCUUAUGGCCACACCAGCUUGAGAACGCCCAAUCUCCUCUGACCUUGGAAGCUAAGCAAGUUUGGGCCUGGUUAGUACUGAGUUGGGACCCUACCUAGGAAUACCAGGUGCUGUAGGCU